AUUCUUUCAUUCUAGAAUAUAAAAACUUGAAGGAAAAACGUUUCACUUAUAAUGAGAAACAAUACACAGUUUCCAUUAAUUUGGUAAUUUGUCAUACCCCUGCGAGAAGCAUGGUGUCAUGCACUAAGUCUCACAAUGCCUACUUUGCUUGUCCUAGAUGCAUCGAUGAAGGAGAUUACGUAGACCACAGAAUGUGUUUUUUGUGCGCAGAAAGUCAGUUGAGAACUGACGAGUCUUUUGCGUUAAGGAUGAACAAAGAACGCCAUACAAGGGAAUCACCUUUUGAACAAAUUGAUUAAAAAUGGUGAGUCAGUUCCCAUUGGAUAUCAUGUCAUCCUACACAGUAUGUUGAAAAUAAUAAGUGUGCUGUAGAUUUACUGAAAUGGUAUGUCGACUCUUUCAAAAUCUUAUACGGAGAAAAAAGUGUCGUAUUCACUGUUCAUUUUCUUCAACAUUUGGGCCAGGAACUUUUGAAGCAUGGGCCUUUGGAUACAAACGCAGCUUAUCCGUUUGAAAACUUCAUGCAGACUUUGAAAAAAAUGAUUCACAGACCUAAGGACGCGUUGCCACAAUUAUUUCGUAAGAUAGUUGAAACAGCUAAAAGUUCCGUUGAACUUAAUAUUGAUGUUAAUCUACAACUUUUGCUACUUAAAAGAUGGUAAAAUCAUCUCUGAAGAAUAUAUAGCUCGUAAACGAGGAAACCCUAUGUUAAUUGGGAAGAAGUUUUCUGGCUUAAGCUCAUUUCCUCAUUAUCCUGGCAACUCUCAAAAAUUAAGUUUCCGUGUUGCGACAGAAUUUUCUAGCACUGAACUGUUUCCAGCACAUGAAGUACAAAAGAAAGCAGUGUAUUUUCCAAUAGAAAGAAACUUAACUUCACAAUUAAUAAAAAUGGGAAUAAUAUAGCUAACAACAUGAAGUCACUGGAUGAAACUUCUUCUACAUGAAACGAUCAGAUAAAUGUACAAGCAUGGUUUGUUAUCACGUGUGAUGAUGGGUGCAGUGCAGUUCCUAACACUUACCUAACACCAGAUCGAACAUAUGUGUAUUGUCCACCUGCAGGGAUGUCUGUUCGAAAAUUUUUGAAUAAAGGAGAAUCGCCUGGUUCGAAUUGGUCAUAAUACAAAGUAAAAUAUGUACACGGACCAUUUGCAACCGAGGAACAAGCAAGAAAUACUGAAAAGCAAAGUGCAAACUUAUCUAGUUCUGAUGAGUGAAUGCAUAAUAACAUUAUUACAAAUCCGAGAAUUUUGGAAAAACGUCCUGCAUGUCCAAAAAAAAUGAGUUCUUUCGAUGAAGAUGAACUGAUGGCAAUAAGAAACCGAGGUUGGCUAUGAAAAGACCACCUUCAAAUUUUUUGAAAGAAAAUGGGUUCGGCAGCCAGGAUAGAGAAGUCAAAUACAAUUCGACAGGAAAAAACAGUGAAAGCGAAAAUUUUAGAAAGCCUAACAUUAUUGAAAUGAAAUCGUACUCUCGUACAGAAGCACGCACACCUCUGAAAAGUAUACAAUAAAGCGUGGCAACUUUGGAAAGUGGAAUAUCUCAUCAUAACAUACAAGGAGAAAAUCGUCAACUUUACUUUUUAGUGACCGCGUUAAUGAAAAAGAAAGCAGAACUCGAUGAGGACAUUAUUAACAAAGAUGAUAAAUAUGAAAAUAAAAAAGAGGAGGGACUAUAUGAAAACAAAGAAUUCCAUAAAAGGCAUUAUCAUAAAAAAACAAGAGUAGUAGAGAAAACGCACUCAGAAGGAGAAACAUAAAAGCCAUCGUCACAAACAACGAGAGAGCAGACAUAGUCAUGACAGCCAGCAGAUCAUCAGGAAAGAAAAAUAUCGUCUUCUUUUGGAUGCAUUCGGAAAUUACGGAGAACCCCAUAAAAGCAGUAACAAGGAUAGACCUGGAAAAAGCUCAAAAUGGAUAAAAGAUCUGAUGUGGAUAUGUAAUACUUCUACUUUACCACUCUCCCCUCUCGUUGAUUCUAGCUAAGGGUAGUUCGCCUACGACGCCUACACAAGGCCCUCGGGGUCUCAGUAGUCCUUGCGCCCUGUCUACGGACAGGUCAUUCUGUAUCUUUCGGUCAAUAAACAAAAAGUAUUCUUAUAUCAAGUAUAAAAGAAGUGUAAUUCACUAGACCGUCACAUAAUUUUGGCGAUCCUAGCCACGAUCCCUUUGAUCGAUACGACGUUCUUCGGGGAUAAAAAAAGAAUUUGUGAAGUUAAGACAGUUAAGUGUAGUUAAGUGAAUUGUGGCAACAUAGUCCCAUAUGUGUGAAAACCUACGAGGUUUCAAAGAUAGCGCAAGUGUACUACCAGGGAAUAUAAGGAUUAUCAGUAAACGAUUAAUCUUUAGCCAAAAGAGAUCACGCUAAUAGUGCAAAUCAAGUGAAGCUACUAGUGACUCUUAAGAAAGGCCCGACGUCACUCUUCAAAGGGGACACCACGGGAGGCUAAGAAUUUCCCGAUUUUCCGGCCAGCUGUCUGCCUACGGAGCUGCAGCAUCCUGCCUGAACCUGCCAACAUCAGUAGACUACCAUCGAUUCUCAACUGCGCCAGCGACACUCAAACUCCUGUUGCAAUGCAGACUGCCUGGGUCAUCCUUUCACUCAUCUCCUCCACUUCGUGCCUCGUAGUGACUCCACUCCAUAAUGUCACUAUUUUUGCGGAAGAUUUAGGCGACGCUAGAUUAUAUCACGAAACUUGGCACUUAUAUGUAUCGGUCGACGUAGAUA